rnacentral:rRNA from 1 species
AGCGGUGAAAUGCUUAGAUAUGACACAGAACACCAAUCGCGAAGGCAGCUCACUAAACUGUAACUGACGCUCAUGCACGAAAGCGUGGGGAUCAAACAGGAUUAGAUACCCUGGUAGUCCACGCUGUAAACGAUGUAUCACUGCGAUGUUGGCGAUACACUGUCAGCGUCUAAGCGAAAGCAUUAAGUGAUCCACCUGGGGAGUACGGCCGCAAAGGUUGAAACUCAAAGGAAUUGACGGGGGCCCGCACAAGCGGAGGAGCAUGUGGUUUAAUUCGAUGAUACGCGAGGAACCUUACCUGGGCUAGAACGCAAGACGAUUUCCCGUGAAAGCGGGAUUCCCUUCGGGGCAGCUUGCGAGGUGCUGCAUGGUUGUCGUCAGCUCGUGCCGUGAGGUGUCGGGUUAAGUCCCAUAACGAGCGCAACCCCUAUCAUUAGUUGCCAUCAGGUCAUGCUGGGGACUCUAGUGAAACUGCCUACGCAAGUAGAGAGGAAGGUGGGGAUGACGUCAAAUCAGCACGGCCCUUACGUCCAGGGCUACACACGUGUUACAAUGGUCGGUACAAUGGGUCGAUACCUGGUGACAGGAUGCCAAUCUCAAAAACCGAUGUCAGUUUGGAUCGAAGUCUGCAACU